CAAAACAAAUUCUUUUUGGAGGUAGAGGUGAGAAGCUACAAUAAGAAAAAUAAACAGCAUUUCAAGAGGAAAUUUGAAACUAAAGUAUCAAUCUUAUCACAGUUUAUUGGUCCAAUACUGAUAUCAAUGGGGUAUCAAUAUUACCAGUGUCUUGGAUCGAUCUGCCCAGCUUUAGUAUUAAAAAUUAUACUGAAAUACUGAGCAGCUGAUCACAAAAUCUGAUUUAGCAUAUUAAAAUGUCGUCAGAUGGACAAAAAUAUACAAUUAUGAGCAAUUUCUGUUUCUUGAGACAGUGAACAGGGUAAAGUACUUUUAAUGACAAUAUGUGGCGUUUACUGUAAAUUCACUUAUCCUAAAAAUAACACAGCAGGCUCAGCAGAUAGAAAAUAUGAACACAGCUUGCGUGUACAAACAAGAUGUCUCACUUUACCAUAAACUGUGGGCGUAUGUCUGUAUCUGGUGUACUGUUUUUUUAAUUGAAAUACAUUUAUUUUCAUUCAGGGAAGUUACUUGCAUUGGCAGAGCAUCCAGAAAUUUUACUCAAGUAAAAUACUUGCUGAGAAUACUGCUUAAGUAAAGUAAGAGUACAACAUGACAAAACUACUAAGAAAAGUAUUUUUUGUGUCUGAAAAGUGACUCAAGUAAAUGGAACUGUUUAAGUGUAAGUGGUUUCUACUCACCUCUGCUUUAAACAACUCUCAGCAGCAUUAUGCAAACGAUGUUUCAUUAACUUUUCAAAGGUCAUCACUCUAAAAUGCUAUACCUAUUUUUAUUUAAAUUAGGUUUGUAUUCUUUACUCAAGUCUCACUAACUUGUUUAUUCAACUCUAGUAAUGUGAGUAAUGUACAUGUUUGGCCGGUGUCCGCCCUGACUUCGAAGCUGUUUAUUUUAUUUAGAUUUUUUGCUUUUGUUUUUUACCUCUGAGUGGUGAACUUUCUAUUAUCCGUAUGUUUAUUUGAUAUGGAAAAGGCCCAUGCACUUCCAUCAUAUGUGCCCUCUGUCCACCGCACUUUUUCAGCCGUUACAACGGUUAAUCCGUUGACAAAAUGUAGUAAAGUGUUUUUCCGCCUUUAAGUGCAACAUUAGCGUUAAGAUGCUCGCACCAGUGGGUUCGGACCGGAGACGUGUUGCUGUGCAGAGGUGCCCACCGGUGUGUUAGAAUCAUGGCACAAAACCAUGACAGACAUAUUAAAAGGCAAAAAUCUUCUUUUUUUUUCUAAACAAACCGAGUAAGUAGAGUAAUGCUGUUGGACGCAAUGCUGGCUUGUUAACAACAAUAAGUCACGUUAAGCUAGUUAAUAGGCUGCCCAUUGUGUUGUUUUUCUUCCGAGCUGGGUAGUAGAGGUUACAUUUACUUGAAUAACUUUUUGGGGGAGGGGCACUGCACUUUUCACUUCUACUGCUAGGAGUAGUAAUAUGAUGAACUAUUGAUACUUAUGAUUGGGUAGACUGGUUUUGCAUAAAGAAAUAGACUAAAGUGAUUGGAAACAUUAGAUUCUUAGACUUCUGCAACAUCUGAGCAAAUGUUUAUGCAAAUCUGAGCUUGCUCAGCAUUUUCUACAUGUCAGUGUUGACAUCAUUCAUUUUUUUUGUAUUAAUAAACAAAAUGGGUACUUUGUUUGAAAGUUAUGCGCUUGUUUAUGCAUUUAUAUUGAAUAAAAUGCCUGUUUACUGUGCCACCCCAAAAUCAACAAAACUCCUCCGCAGCCGGGCUUGAUUGUUACUGUUUGUGCAGAGUCCACCAGAACCAGAGUGGAGGGUGGGAUCUCUGUGCUGCAUUCAAGUCUGAAAAGGAGUCGUUGACAACGCACUUCCCGAGAUUCUUGUCCAGUUUGAAAGAAAGACCAGUGAUGUUGUUGCCUUGACGACUGCUAUCCUGCGAUGUCUCUCUGUUUUCCUCGAGGACGAAGAAAGAGUUCUACAAUGUCUCUGGAUUCAGAUGCCAUGGCAGACCUCAUCCAGGUUCCUGUGGGGUUAUUGAGUGUUAUGUUAUGCUAAGUAUAUAAUUUUG